GUAAAGGAAGGUGGGGGAAGUUCCUUCCCCUUCCACCGUGGGGACAUAAAACCCCCACCAGCCUGUGAGCUGCCCGAGGUAGAAAUCAUCACAUUUGGUCCCUUGGUGACUUACAAGAUGUCUGGCCCUCAGCAGGGUCUCACCCACCGCGGGCAGAAUGAGUGACUGAAUGCCAGACCCAACAAAGGAAGGAGGAAGUGAAAGACGAGCGGAGAAGGCCCCAUUCCAGCCCACAUGUCACUGAUAACGGUGAUAAAAUGAAGGACAAAGUGGACUGAGUUAUGAUACCACUUCGACUUUGUCUAACUUUGUGCAAACGCUUCGUGUUCGGCUGGGAUAAUGGGAGUCCCUGGACGGGCAACAAACAAGUGAGUGAGCAGAGAAGUGGUGUCUUCCAUUUGCAGCCAUUUACAGUUUGCAAAGCUAUCACGUGCACAUUUUUUCCAUAGAGUCUGUAAACCACCCCAUGCACAGGCAUGACAAAUAGUACUUUCUCCUUUGAUGAAUAAUCAAACUGCAAUUUGAAGGCCUGAAAUAACUGAAAUCACAGAGCUAAAAGUGGCAGAGCACACAUUUUUGACCUGUGGUUCUGGCUUUCAGGGGGCCCACGCUCUGGAACAAAAAAAAUCCCACCCAUGUGUUCAGCCCCAUCAAUGCCACGCAGAGCCUUUUCUUUCUUUCUUUCUUUCUUUCUUUUUUUUUUUUUUUUUUUUUUUUUUUUUUUUUUUUUUUUGACCCAGGUGUCCAGGAAUAACAUUGGGUCUGGUUUUGUGCAGGUUGUUCAUUUUUUUUUACAAAUUUUUACAAUUUUUUUUUUUUACAAAUUGUGCAAUUAAAUUAUGAAAUGUGUGACUCAAAAGAGUCACAUCUCCUCCUGCCAACAAAACCAUCCAUUUCUCACAUCUCACCAACGAACGUCAGAAAUGCCCAUUUUCGUUUCUGCCCUUCCGGCGAUUUCCCCACCUCCCCGCUGUCUGCCCCCGUUUCUUUGCUCGUUUUCCCCAGGCUGGUCUUCCUUUCGGAACUUGAGAAGCAUUUUUGCCUUCCCGCUUGGUGCUGUGCUCGCUUCGAAUGUGUGCUCUCCUCCUCCCUCUUUACUUUUCCCCAAGGCCCUGGAGUUGCUUUCUUUGGAGACAGCCUCUACCCACUCUUUCCAGCGCGGGGGCCAGCUGGCCCCCGAAAUCAAUCAGGGGCCCAUCAGAGACCGGGCUGGCCGCUGUCACUCCCGCCGUGGAAUUUAGGGUGA
rnacentral:lncRNA from 1 species